rnacentral:rRNA from 1 species
UACGGGGGGGGCAAGCGUUGUUCGGAAUUACUGGGCGUAAAGAGCGCGCAGGCGGCUGGUCAAGUCCGAUGUGAAAUCUCCCGGCUCAACUGGGAAACUGCAUCGGAAACUGAUCGGCUUGAAGGUGGGAGAGGGUAGUGGAAUUCCCGGUGUAGUGGUGAAAUGCGUAGAUAUCGGGAGGAACACCAGUGGCGAAGGCGACUACCUGGCCCAUUCUUGACGCUGAGGCGCGAAAGCUAGGGGAGCGAACGGG